rnacentral:rRNA from 1 species
AGGGUUUGAUCAUGGCUCAGGAUGAACGCUGGCGGCGUGCUUAACACAUGCAAGUCGAACGAUGAUCUCCAGCUUGCUGGGGGGAUUAGUGGCGAACGGGUGAGUAACACGUGAGUAACCUGCCCUUGACUCUGGGAUAAGCCUGGGAAACUGGGUCUAAUACCGGAUAUGACCAUUCCACGCAUGUGGUGGUGGUGGAAAGCUUUUGCGGUUUUGGAUGGACUCGCGGCCUAUCAGCUUGUUGGUGGGGUAAUGGCCUACCAAGGCGACGACGGGUAGCCGGCCUGAGAGGGUGACCGGCCACACUGGGACUGAGACACGGCCCAGACUCCUACGGGAGGCAGCAGUGGGGAAUAUUGCACAAUGGGCGGAAGCCUGAUGCAGCGACGCCGCGUGAGGGAUGACGGCCUUCGGGUUGUAAACCUCUUUCAGUAGGGAAGAAGCGUAAGUGACGGUACCUGCAGAAGAAGCGCCGGCUAACUACGUGCCAGCAGCCGCGGUAAUACGUAGGGCGCAAGCGUUAUCCGGAAUUAUUGGGCGUAAAGAGCUCGUAGGCGGUUUGUCGCGUCUGCUGUGAAAGACCGGGGCUCAACUCCGGUUCUGCAGUGGGUACGGGCAGACUAGAGUGCAGUAGGGGAGACUGGAAUUCCUGGUGUAGCGGUGAAAUGCGCAGAUAUCAGGAGGAAC